rnacentral:rRNA from 1 species
CCUACGGGGGGCAGCAGUGAGGAAUAUUGGUCAAUGGACGAGAGUCUGAACCAGCCAAGUAGCGUGAAGGAUGACUGCCCUAUGGGUUGUAAACUUCUUUUAUAUGGGAAUAAAAUGUUCCACGUGUGGGAUUUUGUAUGUACCAUAUGAAUAAGGAUCGGCUAACUCCGUACCAGCAGCCGCGGUAAUACGGAGGAUCCGAGCGUUAUCCGGAUUUAUUGGGUUUAAAGGGAGCGUAGGUGGAUUGUUAAGUCAGUUGUGAAAGUUUGCGGCUCAACCGUAAAAUUGCAGUUGAAACUGGCAGUCUUGAGUACAGUAGAGGUGGGCGGAAUUCGUGGUGUAGCGGUGAAAUGCUUAGAUAUCACGAAGAACUCCGAUUGCGAAGGCAGUUCACUGGACUGCAACUGACACUGAGGCUCGAAAGUGUGGGUAUCAAACAGGAUUAGAUACCCGAGUAGUC